CCACCACUAAGCCAGUGGUGAACUCCACAUCCGCAUCCUUUGCUGAGGAUACGGUUAACGGAGCGAAAGCGACGUUCAACCGCAAAACAAGCAGAGGGGGCUUAGUGGUGGGGUGACUGCGUACCUUUUGUAUAAUGGGUCAGCGACUUAUAUUCUGUAGCAAGGUUAACCGAAUAGGGGAGCCGGAGGGAAACCGAGUCUUAAUUGGGCGUUAAGUUGCAGGGUAUAGACCCGAAACCCGGUGAUCUAGCCAUGGGCAGGUUGAAGGUUGGGUAACACUAACUGGAGGACCGAACCGACUAAUGUUGAAAAAUUAGCGGAUGACCUGUGGCUGGGGGUGAAAGGCCAAUCAAACCGGGAGAUAGCUGGUUCUCCCCGAAAGCUAUUUAGGUAGCGCCUCGUGAAUUCAUCUCCGGGGGUAGAGCACUGUUUCGGCUAGGGGGCCAUCCCGGCUUACCAACCCGAUGCAAACUGCGAAUACCGGAGAAUGUUAUCACGGGAGACACACGGCGGGUGCUAACGUCCGUCGUGAAGAGGGAAACAACCCAGACCGCCAGCUAAGGUCCCAAAGUCAUGGUUAAGUGGGAAACGAUGUGGGAAGGCCCAGACAGCCAGGAUGUUGGCUUAGAAGCAGCCAUCAUUUAAAGAAAGCGUAAUAGCUCACUGGUCGAGUCGGCCUGCGCGGAAGAUGUAACGGGGCUAAACCAUGCACCGAAGCUGCGGCAGCGAACGUAUCACCCAAGACAACUUUACGGAGUUGACGAUUGACGGAGCGAAGCGACGUCAAAGCGUUCAUUAAAGUCGAGUUGGCUUAGGGAUACGUUCGUUGGGUAGGGGAGCGUUCUGUAAGCCUGUGAAGGUGUGUCGUGAGGCAUGCUGGAGGUAUCAGAAGUGCGAAUGCUGACAUAAGUAACGAUAAAGCGGGUGAAAAGCCCGCUCGCCGGAAGACCAAGGGUUCCUGUCCAACGUUAAUCGGGGCAGGGUGAGUCGACCCCUAAGGCGAGGCCGAAAGGCGUAGUCGAUGGGAAACGGGUUAAUAUUCCCGUACUUGGUGUUACUGCGAAGGGGGGACGGAGAAGGCUAUGUUGGCCGGGCGACGGUUGUCCCGGUUUAAGCGUGUAGGUGUGUGUUCCAGGUAAAUCCGGUUCACUUUAACACUGAGGCGUGACGACGAGGCACUACGGUGCUGAAGCAACAAAUGCCCUGCUUCCAGGAAAAGCCUCUAAGCAUCAGGUAACACGAAAUCGUACCCCAAACCGACACAGGUGGUCAGGUAGAGAAUACCAAGGCGCUUGAGAGAACUCGGGUGAAGGAACUAGGCAAAAUGGUGCCGUAACUUCGGGAGAAGGCACGCUGACACGUAGGUGAAGUGAUUUACUCAUGGAGCUGAAGUCAGUCGAAGAUACCAGCUGGCUGCAACUGUUUAUUAAAAACACAGCACUGUGCAAACACGAAAGUGGACGUAUACGGUGUGACGCCUGCCCGGUGCCGGAAGGUUAAUUGAUGGGGUCAGCG
rnacentral:rRNA from 1 species